AAGGACUAUUGUUUCCUUGGAGAUUUUUGAAAGAUGUGAAUUGAUCCUCAGACAGCGUUUGCAAAGGAGCGUAAGUACGACUUUGAGACUUGGUUAAAUGUUUUCGAUAUUGAGCUGAAGGUGUUGAAUUAUUGACAACAGCUGUGGAAGUCAAUUUCUUAAGAGGAUUAGAUAGCGUUGAACAUCCUGCUUCAACAGACAUUUUUGAAGAAAGU